GCAUGGUUUGAGAGGUUGGUGAACUCUCUUGAGCUCAGAGAGAUAUACUUGAGCGGGCGUAGAUAUACGUGGACAAAUGAUCGACAACAUGCCACCUUGGUCAAGCUAGAUCGUGUCUUUGCCUCCAUCUCAUGAGAGGACUUGUUCCCCUCAUGCUUCCCGUCAGCAGCAAGCACGAUGACUUUCGAUCACUGUCCACUUGGAUGUCAAUAUACAAUUUGGGAGGCGGUUCAGGUUCGAUCACUUUUGGACCAAAGAUGA
rnacentral:rRNA from 1 species